GGCUAUUCAGAAGGUAGUGAGUUAUAAGAAUUCGUUGUUUGCAGUCUGGUACAGUUUCAACUCCUCGUUCUACUGUUUCCUGCUUCUCACUACUGCACUUGACUAGUCUUAA
rnacentral:Y_RNA from 1 species